GGAAAAGGUUAUACCCGGCGGCUAUAACCUUGUCCAGACAUGAACUGAGGGAAAAAGGAAAUCGCCAGAGGGCAUUUUCUUGAAAAGGGUGGCGGGUGAGACGCUGUAACGGAAUGACGCAUUUGUACGAAAGGAAUGAGUAAUGGCGGAUCAGAAAUUUCUUCUAAGGACUCCAACACCGUUGGCCCCAUGAUCACAGAUGUACAUGCAACCAGUGAGCAGUCGAUCCAAUCGAUUCUUUUGAGCGAGCCUUUUUUGUUAUAAUCUUCCUCCCAUUUCCCUUCCACACUUUUCUGUAGAGUUUCUGCGAAUUGUGUUCCUUUUCCCAACACUUUUCUGUAGAGUUUCUGAGAAUAGUGUUUCUUUCCCUUUAACACUUUUCAAUGAAAUUUUUGAUUUUGUGCCAAAACACACGCUAUAAUGCCCUACAAUCAAUAUCUCCAUCGAUUUCGGGCUUACUGCGAAACCGAAAGUAUGUUACCCGAAGUGGACGACGUGUUGAAUAUGCAUAUGGCAGCUAGUUCAUCCGCUACAGUACUUGCAACUGCAGUGAUUGGAGUAUUCAUAGCCAAGGAUGACAUAAAACAAGUGGCGUGAUUGGCUCUGCCAUCUUCAUGUGACGCUAGCGGCACUUCCGGCCAUUCGAUAAGCAAGAUUAAAGAGGAGGAGGAAGAGCUAUUUUCGCCACCAAUAGAAUUUCUAGACUGGAUCUGCCUGCCAUUGCGUGCUGCUGCUUACAACACGAUGCCUAACUGCCGUUUAGAAAAAUGGGGCAGCUGGUUCCUUGUUUCUUUUCUCAUCAGCAUGCUCUGGAUUCCCAUCUUUUCCUACGUCAUAGUCUGGAUGAUCACUAUUAUUGGUUUCACUAUGGGAAUUCCGGAUACUGUGAUGGGAUUGACGUUUGUGGCUGCUGGUGUCAGUAUUCCUGACAUUCUAACCAGUUUGGCUGUCGCCAGAGAAGGUUACGGUGACAUGGCUACAUCCAACGCCAGCGGCAGCAACGUUUUCGAUAUUCUCAUUUGUCCGGGGCUACCUUGGUUUCUUCAAAUGGGCGUCGAUCCGGGAAGUGUAGUUCGAGUCAUCAGCAAAGAUACUGAUUAACAUAUUCAACCCUAUCAUUGCUGUCAACCAUUGUUUUCUUGUUGGGCGCCACUCAUCUGAAUGGCUGGAAGCUGGAUAGCAAAUACGGAGUUGCCCUUCUGGGGUGGUAUUUGUUCUUCAUGAUCAUCGCUUCUAUGUACGAGAUGAACAUCUUUGGCUAGUUUAACCAGCCGGAAUGUGACAGUGAAUUAUGAGAAAUGAAGCGCAUCUAUUCUAGGUGACCAUCUUACACCAACAAAUAUCAUCUUCUUGGCAACUCCAGUCAUGCAGUAUUUAUAGGGAAUCAAUUCAUGGUAACCUGGAUUCCACAUGGAAUAAAGCUGAUAUACAAUUCGCACUAUCUAGCUUACAAGCUGUUCAGCUCUCGGCCGCACAUAUAUGGUCCUUGGUAGAGCUCAAAAUUUUUAUUCUAGUAAUCUAUACAGAUGUUACUGCAACGAUGUUUACAUUCAAAAUAAUUAUACAGUUAUAGUUCAUUUAUUGUGUGGUUUAAAAUUUUGUUUAUUAUUUUGCGAUGGUCCGCCAUCGUCCUUUUGUUUGUUUACAUUUGAUUCGUAUUUCGGUGUCUCGACGUGUGCCAAUUUGUUGAUGUUAAAUAAGUAAGGUUGCUUUCCAUUUUCCUCUUUUGUUUAUUUCAAUGUUAUAUUUCGCAAUCUAUUUCACCGUGAAACCUUGUUUAUCGUAAAUCACUACUUACAAUUCCGAAUCAAAGUAUACACCAGCAAAAUUUUGACGUUCGUCGAGCGGUGAGCUGCAAUCGAUGUUGAUUUUUCAUUUCCACUUUUCUCAUUUAACAUAACCGUUCAUCACCCUAUUUUACAUACAAUACGCAUGUUUAUCACCUGAAAAAUCUAGCGCAUUUCUUAAUUUUAGGCUGAAUGUACUACUCCGUGUUAGUAGCAACUCAAGCUAAUAAAUCAACCGUCUGUCAGA